rnacentral:rRNA from 1 species
CACGUAGGGCGCAAGCGUUGUCCGGAAUUAUUGGGCGUAAAGAGCUCGUAGGCGGACUGUCACGUCCGCUGUGAAAACCUGGGGCUCAACCCCGGGCCUGCAGCCGAUACGGGCAAGCUAGAGUUCGGUAGGGGAGACUGGAAUUCCUGGUGUAGCGGUGAAAUGCGCAGAUAUCAGGAGGAACACCGGCGGCGAAGGCGGGUCUCUGGGCCGAAACUGACGCUGAGGAGCGAAAGCGUGGGGAGCGAACAGG